GCCAAGAUGACCCAAAAGAAAAAUUAAAAAAAAAAAACAACAAAAAAGGAAAAUAGUCAAAAUACCAAAACCUUAGGGGUCCAAGUCAAUCUAAAUCCCAAUUUAUCCAAAUCAUUUUAGUGAUUUGGGUUCCAUUUUCAAGAUUUUAGCCAAGAAAAUCAAGAACCACAAACUGGAAACUGGAUUUGGAGUGAAUUUAGACCAACUGAACCCUACCACCAUUAUCAUUUGCCUUCGAUCACAGAAGCUAGACCGCUAACCACUUUACUUCCAAUCUUUGGUACCUUUGGUUUGAUCUCUAACGGCUCAAACUGUUUCACAGCUUCCUCGGUACCUCCCACGGCUUCAAACUCAUCAUUCAAAACUGGGUCUUUCGGUUCUAGAAUCGGGUUGGAUUUGCUUGCGGUUUCAGUGAACGAUUGGUUAUGGUUAUUCUUAUCGUCCGUCGGAUUGUUGACCGUUCGGUUGCAAGGUGAGAGCCAUUUAGCUUUGACAUAAUCGGCUCUACGCCAUGGAGGAAGAGGCAUUCCUUUCUUCUUCAAGCUCUGUUUUGCAGCGUCAGAAACUAUGUUGAUGAUGUUCUGGAGACGAUCGGGUCGACCCACGAAUAUAUGAGGAAGUAUUUGAAGAACUGCUCUGUAGCUUUUCGUGGAUCUUGCAAUUUCAAACUCUGAUCUGAAAUCUAUGUCCACAAUCACUCGAUCCCCUUCUAGCAUAACAUCAAUAUACUCAUAUUCCCCUCUGGAUAAGUAGAAGUUUUCUCCCACCGGGAUUUACAGAUAGAAACAGAGUAUCCGGCAGCCAAGAGCCCAUCGGUAACAAUCUUUCUGCUAAUUUCAUCUUUCUUCUUGCAGAUCUUGUUCUUAUCCACAAUUUUAGCAACAUCCGCCAAUAAAUUCCUCUCAAACACCGUCUCACAAACCACCAAACUCUGUAUAAAAUGUUCAAAAUCAACAUUUUAGGGUUCCAAUUUCCAAACCGUACAAUUUGAUAAAAUACUUGAUAAUAUUAUUAUUUAUCACCUUAAGAGGGUCACAUGCAUCUGUGGAUGAACUAAUAGAGUUUCCAAAACAAUUAAACGAGUCAAGUUCAUCUUCAGAGCCAUCGGAACUGCACUCGCCGGUGCCGGAAUUACACCGGCGAUGAUUGCACCGACCACACUUGUUCAAACAAACAGACUGUUUCUCUUUCUCGGUGCUUUCCUCCAUGAAAUUCUGAACCAUUUUGUCCAAACAAACAGAGCUCGGCUCGAAUUCGUCUACAACAUCCUUGCCGCAUUGCGUUUCGCCGGCGCCGGACCUGUCCGCUACCGCCGAUGACCUCAAAAAGCUCGAGAAAUCAAACAAACGUCUCAACCGAGACUUCUGCACUGUCUUCACCGACUCGAAACACUCAGGAGAUGAACAAUCGACCGGUUGUAUCUUCAUCGUCAACGGCAUAACAAAAAUCUCUCCGAUUAUCACUUAAUUUGAAGUUUUGAACAAACGAAACCCUAGAAAACCUAAAAACCCUAAUUUUCAAAAUCAACAACACUACUACAAAAUCAAAUUACUGAAUCUAAACGGCUGUAAUAGUAAAAAUACAGCACACGAACUAGUAUAUCAUCAAAUCACGCGAAAUCAAUCGGCUCAAAACCCUAAAACUCCGAUAAAAUCAAAAAAACCUGAAAAAAUUAUGUAUUUAUCUUCGAAUUAGCAGUAUUAACAUACUCUUUGUGUUCAUUUAACAUCGAUUUGUCUGACAAUUGAUGAAAUAACUUCUAAUUUCUGCUAAUUUUGUUCGAUUUCGCUAGGGUUUUAGGUUAGGUGAGAACGGCAUCUACGAAGAUUAACACAUCACGGCGACGAACGGCGGAUGGAAAAGUCAUCUCCGGCGAAAUCAUUACACAAGUUUACAGUCAGAUUAUCGCCGGCGACGGCGUACGGUGAUCGGAAAAGUUUUCUGGUUGUUGAGUUUUUUGGGUGUUGU
rnacentral:lncRNA from 1 species